rnacentral:lncRNA from 1 species
AUUAAUGUAGCAACACUUUUCUUUUCAAUUUUUAUUUCUUUUUGCUAUAACUGUCUCCAUCCCCACAAAUUCACUUCAUCCCUUCUUCUAAUCUUCCUUGCCUUUUCAUUUUUCCUACUUCUUCUACUCUUUCCAUUGAAGUAAAAAAUGUUAGCAUGACUUUUGAUUGUUCACAAUCUCAUCGGAGUUCGGAGUUGAUUUUGAAUUUUAUUGGAUUGGGGUUUUGGUGGUGACUGGUGGCCUAAGGAAGAGUGGGGGUCUGAUUGUUUCUAGUUGUUCACAAUCUCGCCGGAGCUCGGGAUUGGCGGCUUUAGGAAGGUCGAGACUUAUUGGUGGAGUAUUGGUUUGGUAUUUUUGUUGUUGUUGUUGUUGGUUCUCGCUUAUAGUUGUUGGUUGAAGCUUGUUGGAGGCGGUGAGAAUGAAGGUGUUUUGGUCGGAGAAGGUGAAGAGGACGAGAGGAAGGCAGUAAGUUUGUGUUUGGUUGGAUCUGAAACAGGGGUCUGACUUAAAUAGGGGUCAAUUUCAAAAAUUAUUUGAGUUUUUUUUUGUUGUUUUUGUUUGAUUCUCAACUUAUCUAGGUAAAUUUUUCAAUUUAUUUUCGAAUUUAUUUGUUGUUUAAACUGAAUUUAAUCUUCUAUUUGUGUCUUUGUUGGUUUUGGG